CCUCUCUUCUCUUCCAUGCCUAAAGGUUGGGCGUCCCACUUUCCACACGCCAAGAGUAGUGGUGCUGUCUAUCUAUAGCAAAGAAAAAGGAGAACAAGAAGGCUACAGAUCAAGGAGUUGAUCUCGCAAUUUGGGUCAAGAAAUUGAUCUAAGUUCUAAGACUGAGAUUCUACUUGGAGAAGAUGAAUCUACUAUGAGAAG
rnacentral:lncRNA from 1 species